CAGCAUGUUAGCAUAGCAGCAGGAGCUUCUUCCUAAGAGGAAGCUGGGGUCUGCUGAAGCUUUGAGGGCCACGUGGGAGUGAUUCAUUCAGCUGCAAUUUGCACACAGCACAUGGUGAAGGGUGAGAUGGACUUGACAGAGUCCCAUUUUGGGAAAAGUUUGGUUAGAAAAAUGUCAUCGAGUUGUAACAUAUCAUCAGUUCUAUGUGUGUUUUGGGGUGUCCCUUCUCCUGAUCUAGAUUAAAUUACAUAUGGUGUUAAUACAGAGUCUUCUGCAACAACGUAAAUGAGUUGUUAACAUGGCACUUCAUUGCUAUAAUAAUUCAAAGCUAGUAGCAGGCUUGAUGGUUCUGCAAUAAAUGCUUUAUUAUUUAGGAAAAAUAUACUAUACAAGUUGCAAUGUGCCAUGCUCAUUCAUGCUGUAAAUCAACAAAGAUCAGCAGACUGAAUAGAAAAAUGAAAAGCUUAUUUAGGAACUGACACAAGCUUUCAGAUGAGCAGGGAUGGCUGAAGUUAACUGCAUUCAUUUUUCUUUGCUUGUCACAGUUGCCACUUGAAUUUCACUGCUAAAGAUUGCGGGGAGUUUUGCUUUAUGAAAUUAUAUCUACAGAAACAGUAUUUGCAUUUAUAUAGGCUUAGUUAUAAUAAAGUUAAACCUAACACACCCCCUUGCCUGCACAAAAAAAAACCAAAACAAACAAACCGACCAGACAACCAGAAACCCCUGUUAAAAUAAUAUUUAUCCCUUGGUUUUUGUAGAUUUGAAUAGGAUUCUGCUAAGUGGGUCCUAUCAGCUGAUUUAAAGGCAUGAAACUGGUGAGCAGGUGAAAUGCAGGAGUUAGGAGCCUACAGCCUUCACUUCAGCUUUGCUCUAAGGCUCUGUCCUAACAUGGAUAAAAUCAGAGCUAUCAAAAAAUGUGGUAAGUGAAAGCACAGAUAGGGUACAAAAUCUGGGAGACUGGGGAUUAAUAUGAUCUUCAUGGCAUGAGUUAGUGAGUGAGUGAGACUGGGUUAGGUGUGAUCCACCAACCCUCAGGAGAAGAGAUGAGACCCUGCUGGAUAGCACUGGCUGUUGAACUGACACAGACUCCUGGAGAUGGGCAAAACUGGUGCCUGGGUGCUCUGCCCUGCUGAGAUGGGCUUCAAGACCACCUCCAUGAAUAUUUGCCAAAUAGCCCAUUUCCUUCAUGCUUUGCAGAUAGCAUGAAGAUGUCCUUUGCUUAUUCUCUGUGUUAUCUUAGUGAUAUUAAAGAAUAUAAAAGCCAGGAUUUCUAAACUGCUGGAAAUAUUUAUUUUUUUUUACAUUUAAUUGUGUUUUAAAACAACUACUGUAUCUUUUCAAUUAUAGAAACAUUUUGAGGAUAUAUGUGAUGUGUAAGAGUUCUUUGGAAGUGAUGUAUUUUGUUCCCCAAACUAUUUGUCUUACUUGAUCAGCUUGAAAAGUUAAAUGCCUUUACUGCUUUGGAAAUGUAGCAAUAAGGAUUUUGUUCAAGACUAUUAUCUGCAAAUAAAAAUAGAAAAUUGAGAGCUGUCUUAUACUUGCAUGAUAGCAGAUAAAUGGAAGCUUUUGAAAUUAGGAUCAUUAAAAAAAGACAAAAGAAGUCAAAGAUUCUAAAAAAGUCAGAAAUCGUCCAUAAUCUAGAUCUUGAGUUUGUUUUGCAGAGGUUAGGUUUUGCUUUUGAGCCAGCUACAUGUACGCCAAGGAAAGUCCAAUUAAGAUGAUCGAAUUGUUAGUAUCAUAAAAUAAAGAAAGCAAAGGACAUUUAAUUAUAGCCAUGCUGCCAGGCACUAGUAUAACAAAAGGAAAAAUGUUCACCUACAACACAGAGAGCUGCUUAACGCAUUUGGUGUAAUAGGAGAAAAUAUAUGGUCUAAACAAGUACUUUAAAAUAGUUCAAAAAACUGUAUCUCCUCAUGUUAGUGUAGAUAUUUUCCAAUUAUCAACACGGUUUAAGAAAAAAUAAUAUUAUUUAAUAUUGAGACCUUCAACUUUGUUCACAGGUUGAAGAGAAAGCAUCAUGCAUUAAGACAAAAAGGGUGCCUAAGAAAAUGUAUUUGUGACCCAGAAGAAUGUAUAAUUGAUGUGUGUAGUUGUCUGGAUGGUAGAAUAACAAUAGCAGCCAUUAGAGAUGAGAGCUGGAACAAGUCAGGCAGUGAGGCAGGAUGUAUUUUAUAGGUCAUCUGGGCUCCAUUCAGAUCUACAGGUUGCUAUUUCUUCUCCAUACUUGAAAGCAUUUAAUGGAUUAUUAUAAAAGGAAAAGGAUGGUAUGCAAUAAUGGUUUAAAUUGAAGCUGUGUGUAUAUAUCACCACUGUGCAACUUCUAAAUGAAUGCUUCAUUUUUAAAAUUCUCCCAUGGCAUACUUGAAAGUUUGCCAGAGCAUCAAGGAAUUAAAACAAUGAAUUCACCGGCAGCAAGAGUAAAGGACACUUAAUGGUAUCAUUUUUCUCUUUCAUGACAUGAACUAUUAUAAAUAAGGAAAGUUCACCAAGAAAGAUUUUUCCAAAACUACUGCCUAUCCUCUUCAAGGAGGAUGAACUGUUUUUGUUCUCUGUUAUUUUAUAAUAUUAAGAAAAAAUAAGAGAAUUUUGGAAACAGACUUAACAAUCAAACAAUCAAAGCUGGAAGCACAUCAUUGUGAACUCAAAAUCAGAAUCCCUGCUUGCCUGGAAAAUGCUUCUUUCAUAUCAAAAUUGAUAUAAGUUAAAGGGUGGAGAAUUUUUCUGCUUUGUUUCACAUGAACAUAAAAGUUUUAUUCCUGCUUUUAAUGGGUAGUAUUUUACAAAUGUAAUGGAACAUAAUUUUACCAGGCUUCCCUAAGGGGAAGUCAUGGCAUGAUUACGCAGGCAGUCCCAUCUCAUUUAGUAUAAUGCUGACAAUAUACAUGCAAAUAUACUUAGGCAACUCAAGUUAUAGGUAGAUUGAAUGGCAUUCAGACAAUCAUAGAGUGGUGCAGAUGUUGAAGAAAUUUUUGCAAGAGAAAUAUGGAUUGAAUGGCUGCAGACAUACAUGCCCUCAAGUAAUAUUUCUUUGUGAUGCAGAAGAUUCAGGCUGUGCCAGACAGAAGAACUUGGCAUGCGUAUGUUCAGUGAUUUAGGCUGAACAUCUCAGCUUGGUCUUCUUUAAAGACCCAUAGUCCAGCAGAGGGUGAGAGGGAUGGAUCUUGAACCAUUGUGGCUCAAAAGGUCUCCUUCUGGGAGAAGGAGCUGUCCCCUUCCAGGGAGAGCUUUCACUGUUCCUUAGGAUACCUGAUUGCAGGAUGGUGGGAGAGAUGCCAAGGGGUUCUGCAGAUAUGGGAAAGAGUCAGAUCAGGUCAGAUAAAGGCACAGGGUGACAGAGUUGUGACUUUCAGAAUAAUGGAGUCUGCUCUCCAGAGUGGCAUUGCGUGCAGAAUCUUUCAGCUCUACAGAUCAAAACCACCUUUAUUUUAAAGAAAUGAAUUAAUGCAUUUCAAACUGCAAUCCCAGCAUGUUGGGUCCAUUUGUUACGAAACUCACAAACAAGGAGAAAUCUAUGUCACAAAAGCUAGCAUGAAAAGUUGUACAUUUUCAGGGUUUUAGGGGUGCUUCUUCUGGCUUAGCUUGCUCAUUAGUGAAGAAGAGCCCUAACAGAAAAUGUAUCAGAACUGCCUGUUUUCUUGCAGUGGGUUUUCCUUGGUGAAGUGUUGUAAGGCUCUGGUCUUCAGGAACCUAUAUUUGUGCGGAGAUGCAUGGAGGUGGUAGAAACCACACUGGAUCUGAAGUAACAGCAGAUUCUACGUGCUCCUGUGGGACUGCUGACAGCAGACAUCAGAGCUGUGGCUGUAGCUGGUAUCUGGGUUGCAGGUGUGGGGUCAGUAGGGGGGCUGGCACCUGCAGGCCUCUUUGGGUAGUCACAUCCUUUCUCUUCAGUUUUGAGAAAGCCAGACAAUAAUGAAGGCAAGCAAAGAAAUAAGAGAAAAUGAAGUACAAGAGCUCUGUCUUUGUUAGAUUUCUCUUAAACUUUCCCACUGAGUUUGUAGCUCAGAUCUGUAAGGAGUGACAAUGGAUAUGUGGGUUCAAAAUAUAUAUUACAGAUAUGUGUCUAUGUCUACUAUGGAGCAAACUACAUGAAGUCAGUGUUUAAAACAAAAGUAAUUUUUUUUUUUCAUCAUUAUUAGUGCUCUCUGUUCCCUGAUACGUUUGGUGCCAAACUGCUAUGUAGUAAUCAAGGAGAAUAUUUGGUUAAUAUUUUUUUUACUUUAUUUUCUUUGUAUUUAUUUGCUACAUCCCAGUUACUUGGCAUUACUUGGGAACGUGAAUUGCAUCCAUUUUCUCUCAGUCAUACAAAAUUUAUCAUUCAGAUGAACUAACACCUGAGUUGGUAACAGGCUGUGAAAGUGUUUGCUUUUCCUUGUUCAUUAGUUAGCAUUUCAUCUGUGAGCCUGGGAUGGGUAAAUUUCAGAGUGCAUCUUAUUUAACCUCUAAAAAUGUAUCCUCUGCUCAGUGACAAGGGGCACCCAGUGUUGUGCCUGCCCCACUCUUUACUUCUAGAGGACAAAGUUGCCAGAUGCUUCCCAUUGCAACCUUGUUCCAUGAGGCUGCUUUGUUUGCCUGUCUUUUUCUAUCUAAAGAAAUCCUCUCAGAUGGGAUGUAAGAUUGAUUUAAAGUUGUGUUUCUUUGUUUGUUUGCUUUUCAAGAUUAGGAAAAGCUUAGUCCAGCACUGCAGUUGGUGAUCUGUCAAAUGCUCAAGGCUCAGGGUAUGCUGCUGUCAUUUUCCUCCACAAAAGAAUGUCUCUGUUUCUGCAACUUGCAUAAUAGCUUUAGCUGGUUUAUUUAUUUUUCACAAGAAGUUUUUGAUCCAAGUAACCAGGUAAUGCAUUGUAACAUCAACCAGAAAUAUACAAGAGGGGAGAUUUUUUUUAACCAAGGAUUGUUCCAAUUGUAAGAAAAUCCAGAUGAAUGAAAAGUGUGAGUAAGUACACCAAAGCUAGAGGGCUUUAAGCUGCUCUGUGGAUGAUCUAAUUCUGAAGGAGAAUGGCCUCAGUUCAUGGUAGCUUAAUCCUCUUUUACAGUAAAGUCAGAUCACUUCUCAGUGAGAAUAUCCACAUAGGAAUUUAAUGCAUUUUAACUUACAUGUAUUAUUAUCAUGGGUUUAGUUGAUUUAUCUAAACUUUCCUGAAGUACUUCUUGUAGAAAAACCACUAGACAUAGACGUAUGGUACUAGCUUUAUUUAAACUGUAGUCAUGCCCCUAACUUGAUGUGGGUUUUCAUGUAACCAUGUGAAGUGAUAGAUGAAAAGUGGAUCAUAAGCUGCCCGCUUUCAUCCUGAUCUCAUGCGUAGCAAAGAGAAUUCAUUAUUUGUGACUACAUUGCCCAGAAACAUUUGGAAAGCCUCAGAACAAGUGUUUGGUAUUUGUUCACAUGCUGGGCAACAUCAGGAACUUUAUCCUGAAUUCCGAACUCAGCACAGUUAGGAUUUUGAGCUUAAGGGUCAACAAAAAUAAUUUUUGUGAUUAGUCUUUGUGUUAUCUAUCAUUUGUGCUUUUUUUUUUUUUAAGGCUGAAGAUAUAAAAUGAUACCUAUCACUGUAGAGAAACUUUACCUAUCAUGGUGACAAUACCAGCAGAAUCCCAGAAGCAUCUCUGAAUGUUCUAAGACCUACGUCACCACACAGCCACAGCCACCAUGGUGCACCACCUUUCAGCUGCGUUCCUUUCGUCAUCACACAUGAGGUUAUGGAAGCACUAGGAGCAGAGUUCCCUGCUACAACAGGAGCAACAAAUUCUUUGCAGAUCUGUUUAAUUUUUUCUUGCUUCUGCAGGUUCAUUUGAGCAGUUUACUUUAUAGCAAGUUUAGCCUGAAGCUUAGGACACUAGUAAAGCUGUCAAAUGAAAGCAUUACUGGUAUUUGAAGAAUUAAGCCUGUAUUUGAGAAGUUAAAGUUUGCCCUGCAUUAUUUCUUUAUUUCUUAUUUCAGCACUGUUUGCGUACCAUGUCUUUUUGAGUUAAUGCAUAACAACUCAAGUUGGCUAAAAGUGUAUGGAAUUAAUGAAACUGUGAGCCACAAAAAAGACGAAAUUGCUUUUUCUCUUUCUGUAAUUGCCACUACAAUAAAUGCUGCCUUUUCUGUAAAAUUUUUCAGGGUUAACCCCUGCAGAGCUCCCAGCUUGAUGAAGAAGUAGUGUGAUUAGAGGCGUGCAUGGGAGGCAGUAGAACAGCUGACUCAUUGUAGUUAGGGGUGUUCAAAGUCUGUAGGCAGCAGAAGGCAAAAGUUGCAGCUGUGCUGCCCAGUGCCUGGAUGAAGUGCAGCAUACUGAGUGAGGGUCAGCUGUGGUCCUGCAGCCCAGCAGCUCAGGCAGCCCUGCCCUAAUGUGCAUCCUUUUCAGUCAGCCUUGCUGAAUGCUGUAGAGAGUAACUGGAAGGGAAUGAUAGCUUUUGCAAUUCAGGAGAAAAGGAGGAAAGAGUUUGUUGUAUUCUCUGUGAUGGCCACUGUUGUGACCAACAGCCAUUGAUAUUCUAGAGUGAGAAGACAGGUGUGGACAGUCCCUUUAUGCAAGACCUGGAAACAAAACUCCUCAUUUACAACUUCUUUUUUAACUCUAAAAUAUUCUUACAUUUUGCUGGGUGCAUCCAUUCAAGUAAUUAUGUCACCUUCACAUUAAUCCUCAAUCUAAACAAUUCCACUUCCUUAGAAGCAUCAGCAAUGUGUGUUUAAGUAUUAGAGCAUCCUCAGCAUGCUAUAUGUAAUGUAAUACACUGCUGAAAGUUUAAAAGAAUCUCUGCCAAAGACACAGGCAUUAAACUGGUUUUAAAAUCUACUUUUAUUUUUAAAAUGUAAUAAAAACACUGUAUCAUUAUGAUGAGAGACCAUCUCUGGUGAGAGAUUGAACACGUUCUUGUUAGCGUUCACAUAGUCAGACAUAGCAAAAUGCGAACAAACGCUGGUGAUAAAUGCUUCCUCUGCUUUCAGUAUUCUAUAUGAUUUGUUCUGUGUUUUUCUUUUCUUUUCUUUUUUUUUUUUUCCUUCCUAUUAGAAUAGAAAAUACAUUUAAGAGCCUGGAAAUCAGUAGAUUUUUUAAAUGUCUUGAAUACCAUUUCAUCUGGAAAAAAGGUUUAGAAUAAGUAACCUGCCGUGUUAGAAAAGGUUGCUAAUUAUCUGAAUUUCACUGUGGUUUAAUUAGCAGCAUCUACAGUAGAAUGUGGAGGUGGUGCUUGUCACCUGCCAAGGAAAAUGUUGUCUUUCAGAGGAGAGUAAAUGAUGUCUACCAAAAUACAGCCUGAUUUUAGAUCUGAAAAAAAAAAAAAAAAGAAAAAUAAUAAUAAUAAAAAAUCCCCUUACAUUCUUUUGAUGGGCAGAAGUGAGUGGGCAGUGGGCCUUACACAAUAGGGUUCAGAGGGUUCAGAACUGAGGAGGUACCAUUGCUCCCAACUAUCUGCAGCUCCCAUCUGGGGCAGGUCUGAGAGCCACCAGCUCAGUGCUGGCUGUGGAAGCAGAUUGUAGACACUGGCAGGGGCACUCAGGGUGCUGCUGGAUGGAGUGUGCUACAGACAGCACUCUUGAAGGUUAUGGCAGAAAUUAGCACAAGUGGGAGUGUCAGAUCAGGUGUACCAGGCUAACAGUGUGCUCCCUGUGAACCAGAUGCAAGUGAACAGGAGUGAAACAUGUCUGAUAAAGCAUGCUUCAUCUUGAAGUUCUUUUUUUGUUGGCCUUGUUAGCUGUUUUAAUAAAUGCACUUUAUAAUUUGCUUUUAAUGUACUGUAUAGCUAAGAGAACUGGCUACAGAUAUUGGCCAUUUGUUAUGGAUAGCUCUGCCCACAGAGACUGGAUGCUUGGAAAUGCUGGAAUUGUGUUAAUGAUGUGAUGGGUCAGAGCUGGACGUUGCUGGGGUCAGGAGAAAGGUGACAUUUAAUCUCUGCUGGAUCAAAUAAAACAGGGCUGGAUCCCUGUCAUAGGCUAGACUUGGUCAAGUUUCAGUAAUCCAAAGGGUUAUUUUCCUGCCCACUCUGUCUUUCCAAGCAUUUUUAUCCUUCCUCCAGAAUUCAAAUGCAGCAAGUCGGUAGGCACAGUGGAAUUAGCGAGUAGUUUAUGUUUAGUGAUUAUUUCACAUUCACAGAGGUGUUCUGAGCUCUUUGUUUAGAAAUGGAAUCAUUCACAUGGCAAGGGGCAUACAUAAUAUAUCUCUGCUUUGUAACAGAGGAAAGUGAGAGGGCAUUCAUUUCUAUGAACAGCAGUAUUAAGUUUAUAUGAAACUUUAUCUCUUAAUUAUUACAGAAGAAAUUAUCUUUUAAAAAGUUGCAGCCUUUCCCAUAAGUGCAUUGGAAUUGACUUUGUAACAGUGCCUGUAAUGAUUUUGAAUAUAUUGAGCAAAGCAGAAAAGAUCAAGCAGUUGAUCUGCAGCUCAUAGGUAAAUUAUUUUUCACUAAGGUGCAGAAACACCAUUAUCACAGGAUAAACAUUUUCAGAAAAUAAUCUUUCUUGCCGGGCAUUCUGGUGCUCAAGGCAGAUUUACAAAACAACCAAAGAGAAAACUUGCAAGUGAAGAUACUUCAUAGCGGGACCCAACAGAGGGGCUGAUGACAUACUGUCAUUUCCACUCCUUUCCUGCUAACUUUCCAAUUACAUUCAACUGCUGUCUCGUUUCUCCUUUUCUCACUUCUCUGUCCCACUGGAGUGAGUGACCUGAGCGUGGCUCCCUGUGCUGGAGCUGCCUGCUGCUCAAAGGUGCUAGUUGUCCUUUCCUCUCAUAUCAUCUAAUUGAUAGCAUAAUAAUUUCAUCCCAGAGCACAUCUUACCUAUGUCCUUUUACUGCAGUUUGCAACCUUUGUUUCAGACCUAACAAUGGCUUAUUUGCUUGUCUAUUUCUCCCCCAACUCUAAUAGCUGGUCUCAUAAAAGAUAUUGCCUCUCCCCAUAAACCUCAGCUUUCUACCCUACAUACAUGUUCCUUGGGGGAAGUAAGCAAGAAAAUAGCCUCAAGCCUGGAAUUUCACUGUGAGACCAAACUGUAUUCUUCUGCCAUGUCCCCAGAAUAGGGCCUGCAUUGCAGGUGGGAGCUGCAGGGCUUUGGGCAGCUUCUUGCUCAUGGGUAUUUUAGGGCCAGGUACUGGAUGCCAGCCACUCGUAGGAAGGUGACUGAGGUCUCACUUGCACAGCUCUUGGAAAACCCUCCCAGGGUUUUCUCCUUGAAAAAUCACUACGGUGUUUCUUAAAUAAGACCAUGGUUUUAAACUAGAAGAGGGGAGAUUUAGACUGGAUAUAAGGAAAAGGUUUUUUACAGUGAGGGUGGUGAGGCACUGCCACAGGCUGUCCAGAGAGGUGGUGGGUGCCCCAUCCUUGGAGACAUUGAAAUCAGGCUGGAUGGGGCUCUGAGCAACCUGACUGAGCUGUGGGUGUUCCUUUUUGUUGCAGGGGGGUUGGGCUAGAUGGCCUUUAAGGGUCCCCUCCUCAAAAGAUUCCAUGAUAAUUAGACAUUUCUGUAAAUGAGUGUCCACUAUAUUAAGCAACAUUAAAACACAAGCAUAAUGUAAACACUCUUCAAGUCAGCAGCCAGCCCUACGAUGAAGUUUGCUCUGUGACUCCUUUGUGGGCAGUUUUCUUUGCAGUGUUUUAGCAGUAUUAUGGGGGUAGUGGUGUCUCCCAUUGUGAGCCCCUGGGGGCGGCAACAGGAGUGCACAGGAGUGCUCCACAGCAGCUCUACUGCUGCUGUUUAUCACCUUCCUGUAUUUCUCUGUUUCGGCAAAUUCAUGGGUGUGUUCCGGGGUAUAAUCAGCAAUCAGCACCACAGAUAGCAGCAGUGCCGGUCAAGGCACGGCGACACCCGAGCCAUGACGACCGAACCUCAGGCCAAGACAAAGGGAGAAACAAGGAAGCUGGCGAGCUGAGACAGCAGGGAGCAGCAUGGAGCCGCGCUGGCGGCCGCCCACGCCUCAGGGCCGGGCCCGCGAGGAAGUCGUGCAGCGGGUGAUGGCGUGAGGGCUCCUGCGUGCAGAGCUGUGCUCGGUGCGAGGGCGGCUUCCUCGCCUGGCAGCGCUGGGUGUGCAGGGCGCAGGCUGGCGGCGGGCUGUGAGCCGCGGCUGUGCCGGCCGAGCCUCGGGCGGCGUGCCCUGCUGCCGCUGGCACUGCGGGCUCUGACCGCUGCAGGGAGGGCUCUGAGCACCCCUUGAAAGGAAUGACAUUAUAUCGUGCUUUAGGGAACAGCGAUGAUCUCUUUUGGCAUCGUGCUGUUACGACAAGUGCGUGUGUGCGAUUUAUCCUAAUUAAAAAAGUACGACAGACAUAAGCCAGAGAAAUGUCUGUAAAUGGCACAGUCUGGUCCCGUCUUUGUUUAUCACCACUGUAAUGCAUUGCUGGCAUCCUAAAACAAUGAGCCCAUGUUACUUGGUGUCAGCACAGGCUUGGCCGGAGGAAUUAAAAGGUGUGCAGUAGUGAAACAGCCUGAGCAUUUAGCAAGGGGAUCCACAGCUCAGGUUUGCUGGCUCCUUCCUUACUGCGGUUUGGAUUUUAUUCUGUUUGUGUAGCAGGAGGAAGGAGAUGAAAUAUAGAAGCCCUUUCUUGCCAUGAAUGAAAGAAUUAUCUGCUGCAUAAGGCCGCCUCUAUGGAAUUAACACAGGUCCUUGCUCUAUGCAUGUAGAGUAAGUUUUCAGAUCAAAACAGACCUCUGAAGGAAUAUACACUGGCGCAUUAAAGAAAGACGCUGCAAUAUUCUGUAUCAAAAAGGUUAAACUCGUCGGAUUCUAUGUAAACAGUCAUUUUACCCUAGCUAACCUGUAAAGAUUUCAUUUUGCUUCAUUUAUCUUCUUCCUUACCGUAUGGUAUACCAUCCCGAGCUUCGAUGAAAGAAUCAUGUCUCCAUUCAUUUCCUAUCUUGCUGAAUUGCCUUCGCAUUUCCUAUCAUCUGCACAUAAUCCUAUUCUCUCCAUUAUUGUCUUAAUACCAAGUACAGCACAAGAUAAUGGAUAGGCACUGUAAUAACAGUGUGGCCUGUAGGAGCCCCUCGAGGGAAAUAUCUUUGACGCUGGUAGAAUAUUAAUGCAUCUCAGGUCCCUGAUCUUCCUCUUUCACUUCAUCUCCUGUUUUCUAAACUACAUAAUGACUUUCAUAUACAUGACAAAAGCAUUAGAACAGAAAAAGACUCAUUGAUGAGCGGCGGAGCUGUGUGAUAUUAAGAAGUACUAUUCUCAGUUCUUUGUACAAUUUUUGACCACCAUCAGAGACAGUGUGUGCAGGUAAUUUCUGAUUUGAAUAGAUACAGGCAUAAAGAACCAUUAUCAUACUCUGUUAAUCCAAAUGCCCAUCACAGGCACUGCAUGAAAAUAAAUUAAAAUGUAAUUCUUCAAUAAUGCAUCUGUCUACAGGAUGAUUUUCAGCAGAUUAAAAACAAACAACUUGAUAUCACUUAGAAAGGCUAGCGCAUUGUUUUUUGAGAAGCUUAAUCAUCAGCAGAUUAUGGAUGGAACAGUAAAUCAAAGCAGGGUAUGUUAAACAGUGUAGAUUGUGUUGUAGCAGCAAUUUACUGUACAUAAUUUUUUAAUAAAAGCGAAAAAUUGAUUUUCGUGAGCGUAAACAUUGAAUCCUGAGAGAAUUUAGAUGCUAUUAUCGAGAAAGGAAAUGUUAAAAAUGCUACUGUUGCUUCCACAUGACAAGAACCUUUGGUUUCCUUUACCAGGAAGAGAAGUUUGCUCCUUUCAGGACUGCCUUUGGCACAACUCUUUUUCCUCUCUCUUCUCCUCCUCUGAAAAUUAUCAUUUUCCUAUUGCAUUUGGCUAAUGUACUCCACAACCAUUCCCUACCAAAUCCAAGUUGUACCCUGGCAAGGAAGAGAAGCCAACAGACCUUCCCUUUGUGCCAGGAGGAACUUGCCCAACCUGUAGGUGCUGGAAGGUGGAAAACUGAGUCAGGAGUGAGAGCCAGAGAACAGAGGAAGAAGCAUUCUGGGGUUCAGAAAGAAACAAAAAUAUGCUUGAAAGUUAAUCAUACUUUAAAACAACAAUUAAAACAACCCUCCUGCCACACACGGGCACUCAGGAGCACGGCUGUCCUCACACCUCUAGCUAUGCAAAUGCUGAACAGUGCCUCCAGCUUCCCCACAUGGUUCUGGGUGCUGCCAGGCCCUGGGAGCCCAGGAAAUGUCACAGUGAGAGACUGAAGCUGUGCUGAAGGAAAUCUGUCCCAAGAGGGAGGGAGGAGACAGUCUGUCUGUUCCUGGCCUUGCCUUUGUUUUAUUUAUGCCCUAAUUUUAUUUCCAGAUGAUUCACUUGAUUUAUUUCACUGCUUUUAAUGUUGUUUCUUUUCUGUUCUGAACUUGAAUGGUGCUGUGAAAUAGUCUAAUAUUAAAUUAUGGCGAUUCUGCAUUUUAAAAUGGGCUCGGCAGGGUGGAAGAACACAUGUGAAGCUCAGAGACAUCAUGUUUUAUGUUGGAAAGCUGAAGUUGUCCCUUUGAAUCCUGGUAAAAGCUACGUUAGCAAGUUCUGUUGCUGUCAUUAUAAAUGUAAUGCCUUUUCUUUCACAUGUGCUUACUUGCCAAGAGAAAAAAAUGACAUCCUGGGUGACACUGGUAGUGUGGGAUCCCAGUCUAAGAGACUGUAAACAAGAGGAGGUGAGAAAGAACUCAGCUCACUACUUUAAGAAUUCACUUAAAACUUGUGGUUUAAAUUUAGGUCUGGAAUCAAAAUGCUAUUGUUCUCCUCCACACUCCCCCCCCCCCCCCCAGCACACACACACUUCCCCUUCGAAAAGGGGUUUGACUUAUGGCUCCUCAAUAGUUGCCCUACAUACAACAUAGUCAGUAGCUGAUUAAAAUAGGGUUCAAGGAAGCAGAUCCCCAGAACCAGUGCUGUGGGAUGCACAGGCCCUUUUCUGCUUUACUGGUGUUGUCUUUACUGGCUCUGUCAUGCUGCGUUGGGCUUAGCGUGACACAGCAUGGCAGGAAUUACUAUCAACACGGUGACAAGAAGAAUAUCUGAGACCCUAGCAAACGCUAGGAAAAAGGAAACAGUGCUUUUUAUUAUUAUUUAUCUACAAUACUGAAAACUGAUGGCCACCACAGUCCUGGCCCUCAGAGCUGUACCACUGAUCACCGUUAUCAGCAUGAAGACUCUGAAGGAGUCCACAUUGCCUUAGAGGAAGGCUGAAAUCAGUGAACCUGCUGUCAGGCUGGGCAUGGGUCAGGCUGAACUGGGUAGAGCAAGAGCCUGUGAUAGUUGGGAACUUAUUGGUGUUCUCAGUCUGCUUGAAUGGAUAGUCCUGGGAUCUGGUGCUGAGUUGCCAUGGCUUUGGUCUUGAGUCUGGGCUUGAAGAAGAAUAUAUCUUGUUUUCCCAAGAAGUGAAUAGAUUUCAAUUAAAACCCUGUUUUAAAAAAUAUUUCUAGUCACGUAUUAAUUAGUCCCUGUGAUGAGUCCCAUCUGAGUGUGGUGGGCUCGUGGCUGCCUGCAGUUACUGUCUUCUGCUUAUGGGGAUGUUGUUGGAGGGAAGCACAGCACAUGCACAGUACUUGAAGGGAGCGUAUAAACAGGAAGGGGAACGUCUGUUUACAAGGGUGGAUAGUGAUAGGACAAGGGGGAAUGGUUUUCAACUGGGACAGGGGAGGUUUAGGCUGGAUAUUAGGAAGAAGUUUUUUACACAGAGGGUGGUGACACACUGGAACAGGUUGCCCAAGGAGGUUGUGGAUGCCCCAUCCCUGGAGGCACUCAAGGCCAGGCUGGAUGUGGCUCUGGGCAGCCUGGUCUGGUGGUUGGCGAUCCUGCACAUAGCAGGGGGGUUGAAACUACAUGAUCACUGUGGUCCUUUUCAACCCAGGCCAUUCUGUGCACCUUGAACAAGUCUUCAGUUUGCUGGACCCCUCUUUGUUGCUUUGACAUGCUAAACACUGCUGACAGGAUUAUUUUACUCUUAGAAUCACAUUCAGGAUUUUGACCAUGAAUGUUUUUAUAUUUAUUUAUUUGUUUGUUUGUUUGUUUUUUAUUUUAUGCUAAUGCUUGGGUUACCGCUGUGAGUCUGAAAAUCUGGGAGGACGUACUGUGUUUGCAGGGCUGCAAUACAACUUUGAUGCCUUCGUACACUGUAUUCCUCCUGUAACUUCUGGCAUGCAGCAAAAUUAUCUUUUAAUUUACUUCUAACAAAUAAACUCAAUUUUACUAUUCAAAUAAAGUUUUGUGAGACAACAGACUCUGUUUACCAACCUUAUGUUGGUCAUUUUUGAGGGUUAAGAAAAGAUUCUGAAUUAUGUAACUGAACUUUCUAACUAAUAAGAGAAGUGACAUGGAUUUUAAUUGUCACUUAAGUAUUGUACCUCGUUCUACAGAUUAUUGUCUUUCCUCCUUUUUUUUUUUUUUUUUUUUUUUUAAAGUCUACUGCUAGCAAGGAAUCUAAAUAGACCACACCUUUUCUCUAUCCUAUGUAGCUGCACUUCCAGUAUUAAGAAGAAAAGUGCUCUCCAUUAGAUUAUCUGUGAUGCUACCUUUUUAUUAGUAGUAUUUUAAGAGAUACUACAUGCAUUGUGCUUGAAGUAUACUCGGAAGGAUUUUAUCUGUGACAGCAACUCCUGUUGUUUUUAAUCUUAAUCCAGACAUCACUAAUUUUAUGUUUGGGAGUAAACAUAGUAUUAAAUGAGAAUCCACCUAGAAUGGUAAUUGGUGCUGCUCUUUUGUAUGCUGGGUUUCAUAUCUGCGUGUAAUUGCCGGUGCCCUAUAGAAAUGUUAAUUAUCUUGGCUAAUCCUGUUUCCCUUGAUCGAUCUGGAGCAGUCCCAGUUAGCAAGAAGGUGUAACCCAGGAAAGUUAGCAAUACGGCAUAGAACUGAUGCACAAGUGGGGAGGUGCAGCUGCACUAGGUGUUACCGUCUGCAGGACAUGCAAGUGCAUGCUCAGCAUGUGGGGCAUGACGUCAAGCACGGUGUGGUAUCCUGCUUGGAAUGACUGCAAUGAUACUGUCAUUAUGUUUAUAAUGAAAAAUAGAGAAAAAAUUAAGCUGCAAUUUGUCAUUUCCAUGUUUCUAGUGCUGUGCUGACCUGUACAAUUGUGUGGGCCCCAGUGCUGACAGGCAGUGCCCCGAGAAAACUGCCAGGCCUGAUGGAAGGACAGCUGUCUCUACAGGCUUGGGCAGCCCCACAGACAUGACUCCGAGUAGUGUGACAAGGAAUGCCCCUCUGUCUGUGUGCCCACAUCCCCAUGUGUGCUCCAGUGCAGGGCCUAGAGUGGCUGUGGUACUGCUGCUACCCUGUGCCUAGCACACAGACCUGGUUCUGCCUCUCUCAGUAGACCCCUGCCUCAUAAAGGAAACUCCUUAUUUUUAUGUAGAAACCGUGUCUUCUGACUGUAGCCCUUGUACUGUUGCCAUAUCCCAAAGAAUAUUUCAUGUUAUUUUAUACCAUUUUCUUAGAUAACAUUUUCUUUUCUUACAAAGUCCGAAUAUAAAUAAUCACUUAUAGCACAUCUCCUGAAUCAAUGAGGUUCUGCAGACAGGAGCUAAGCUUUCAUAAAAAUGCCAUUGUCAGGCAAGGUUUGGUACAGCACCUACAGUCUAGAUGAGGAAAAAUUUGAAACUGUGGAUAAUUUCUUAUCUACAUAUCCCUGAUGGCUGAACUGUGCGCCAGUAACUGGGAACACUUCUUGUAAUGCUGCUUUUAAGUGGGAAAGAUACUGAAUAAGGCAAAGAAAAAAUCAACAUAUAAAAAAUCUUAGCUAUAAAAUAAGUUGAGUGUAGGUUUAGAAGAGGGGAUAUGUAAAAUGCCUAAUUAAGAAUAAAGAAAACCCCUGUGCUGAAGUUUCAAAACCCAAAUGAGCAUUGUAUGUGGAGAUAAAGCAUUCCCAAAGGAAAACACUGCAAGAAAAUUAUUCUUGGCAUUUUCUAUUCAUUUCUAUUACAUUGAUUUUAAAAUCAGUUCUUCUAAAAUAUGGCACUGUUUUAUAUACAUCU
rnacentral:lncRNA from 1 species